rnacentral:rRNA from 1 species
AUUGAACGCUGGCGGCAUGCCUUACACAUGCAAGUCGAACGGUAACAGGUCUUCGGAUGCUGACGAGUGGCGAACGGGUGAGUAAUACAUCGGAACGUGCCCGAUCGUGGGGGAUAACGGAGCGAAAGCUUUGCUAAUACCGCAUACGAUCUACGGAUGAAAGCAGGGGACCGCAAGGCCUUGCGCGGACGGAGCGGCCGAUGGCAGAUUAGGUAGUUGGUGGGAUAAAAGCUUACCAAGCCGACGAUCUGUAGCUGGUCUGAGAGGACGACCAGCCACACUGGGACUGAGACACGGCCCAGACUCCUACGGGAGGCAGCAGUGGGGAAUUUUGGACAAUGGGCGAAAGCCUGAUCCAGCCAUGCCGCGUGCAGGAUGAAGGCCUUCGGGUUGUAAACUGCUUUUGUACGGAACGAAAAGACUCAUUCUAAUAAAGAGGGUCCAUGACGGUACCGUAAGAAUAAGCACCGGCUAACUACGUG